rnacentral:rRNA from 1 species
UGGAGAGUUUGAUCCUGGCUCAGGAUGAACGCUGGCGGCGUGCCUAAUACAUGCAAGUCGAGCGAACGGACGAGAAGCUUGCUUCUCUGAUGUUAGCGGCGGACGGGUGAGUAACACGUGGAUAACCUACCUAUAAGACUGGGAUAACUUCGGGAAACCGGAGCUAAUACCGGAUAAUAUUUUGAACCGCAUGGUUCAAAAGUGAAAGACGGUCUUGCUGUCACUUAUAGAUGGAUCCGCGCUGCAUUAGCUAGUUGGCAAGGUAACGGCUUACCAAGGCAACGAUGCAUAGCCGACCUGAGAGGGUGAUCGGCCACACUGGAACUGAGACACGGUUCAGACUCCUACGGGAGGCAGCAGUAGGGAAUCUUCCGCAAUGGGCGAAAGCCUGACGGAGCAACGCCGCGUGAGUGAUGAAGGUCUUCGGAUCGUAAAACUCUGUUAUUAGGGAAGAACAUAUGUGUAAGUAACUGUGCACAUCUUGACGGUACCUAAUCAGAAAGCCACGGCUAACUACGUGCCAGCAGCCGCGGUAAUACGUAGGUGGCAAGCGUUAUCCGGAAUUAUUGGGCGUAAAGCGCGCAUAGGCGGUUUUUUAAGUCUGAUGUGAAAGCCCACGGCUCAACCGUGGAGGGUCAUUGGAAACUGGAAAACUUGAGUGCAGAAGAGGAAAGUGGAAUUCCAUGUGUAGCGGUGAAAUGCGCAGAGAUAUGGAGGAACACCAGUGGCGAAGGCGACUUUCUGGUCUGUAACUGACGCUGAUGUGCGAAAGCGUGGGGAUCAAACAGGAUUAGAUACCCUGGUAGUCCACGCCGUAAACGAUGAGUGCUAAGUGUUAGGGGGUUUCCGCCCCUUAGUGCUGCAGCUAACGCAUUAAGCACUCCGCCUGGGGAGUACGACCGCAAGGUUGAAACUCAAAGGAAUUGACGGGGACCCGCACAAGCGGUGGAGCAUGUGGUUUAAUUCGAAGCAACGCGAAGAACCUUACCAAAUCUUGACAUCCUUUGACAACUCUAGAGAUAGAGCUUUCCCCUUCGGGGGACAAAGUGACAGGUGGUGCAUGGUUGUCGUCAGCUCGUGUCGUGAGAUGUUGGGUUAAGUCCCGCAACGAGCGCAACCCUUAAGCUUAGUUGCCAUCAUUAAGUUGGGCACUCUAAGUUGACUGCCGGUGACAAACCGGAGGAAGGUGGGGAUGACGUCAAAUCAUCAUGCCCCUUAUGAUUUGGGCUACACACGUGCUACAAUGGACAAUACAAAGGGCAGCGAAACCGCGAGGUCAAGCAAAUCCCAUAAAGUUGUUCUCAGUUCGGAUUGUAGUCUGCAACUCGACUACAUGAAGCUGGAAUCGCUAGUAAUCGUAGAUCAGCAUGCUACGGUGAAUACGUUCCCGGGUCUUGUACACACCGCCCGUCACACCACGAGAGUUUGUAACACCCGAAGCCGGUGGAGUAACCUUUUAGGAGCUAGCCGUCGAAGGUGGGACAAAUGAUUGGGGUGAAGUCGUAACAAGGUAGCCGUAUCGGAAGGUGCGGCUGGAUCACCUCCUUUCU